AGAGUUUGAUCCUGGCUCAGGAUGAACGCUAGCGGCAGGCCUAACACAUGCAAGUCGAACGGUAACAUAGAGAAGCUUGCUUUUCUGAUGACGAGUGGCGCACGGGUGCGUAACGCGUAUAGAACCUACCCUUUACAGGGGGAUAGCCCGGAGAAAUUCGGAUUAAUACCCCAUAGUACUACGAAGAGGCAUCUUUUUGUGGUUAAAGUAUUACGGUAAAGGAUGGCUAUGCGUCCUAUUAGUUCGUAGGUGAGGUAACGGCUCACCUAGACUUCGAUAGGUAGGGGCCCUGAGAGGGGGAUCCCCCACACUGGUACUGAGACACGGACCAGACUCCUACGGGAGGCAGCAGUGAGGAAUAUUGGACAAUGGAGGCAACUCUGAUCCAGCCAUGCCGCGUGCAGGAAGACUGCCCUAUGGGUUGUAAACUGCUUUUAUACAGGAAGAAACUUAUCCACGUGUGGAUAACUGACGGUACUGUACGAAUAAGGACCGGCUAACUCCGUGCCAGCAGCCGCGGUAAUACGGAGGGUCCGAGCGUUAUCCGGAAUUAUUGGGUUUAAAGGGUCCGCAGGCGGGCAAUUAAGUCAGGGGUGAAAUGGUGCGGCUCAACCGUAGCACUGCCCUUGAUACUGGUUGUCUUGAGUCAUAGUGAAGUGGCCGGAAUAUGUAGUGUAGCGGUGAAAUGCAUAGAUAUUACAUAGAACACCGAUUGCGAAGGCAGGUCACUAACUAUCGACUGACGCUGAUGGACGAAAGCGUGGGGAGCGAACGGGAUUAGAUACCCCGGUAGUCCACGCCGUAAACGAUGGAUACUAGCUGUCCGCUACCUUGAGUAGUGGGCGGCCAAGCGAAAGUGAUAAGUAUCCCACCUGGGGAGUACGUUCGCAAGAAUGAAACUCAAAGGAAUUGACGGGGGCCCGCACAAGCGGUGGAGCAUGUGGUUUAA
rnacentral:rRNA from 1 species